ACGUGAUCUGAGUUCAGACCGGAGUAAUCCAGGUCAGUUUCUAUCUAUAAGGAGCUUCUUCUAGUACGAAAGGACCGAAAAAGCAUGGCCCAUUUUUUAUCAAGCCAUUAAUAUUAAUUUAUGAUUUCAACUUAAUUAGUAAUUAACCACAACAUAGCCCGAGAAAAGGGCA
rnacentral:rRNA from 1 species